rnacentral:rRNA from 1 species
UACGUAGGUGGCGAGCGUUGUUCGGAUUUAUUGGGCGUAAAGGGUCCGCAGGAGGUUUGUUAAAAUUGGGGUGAAAUCCCGGAGCUCAACUCCGGAACUGCCUUGAUGACUGACGAACUAGAGUGCUGGAGAGGUAAGCGGAAUACCAGGUGUAGCGGUGGAAUGCGUAGAUAUCUGGUAGAACACCGAAAGCGAAGGCAGCUUACUGGACAGCAACUGACUCUCAUGGACGAAAGCGUGGGGAGCAAACAGG